UGUGUCCGGGGAGGGGAGGAGGCGCCAAGGUGCAGCCUGCGUGCGGCUCUGCGCCUCGGCGGGGCUGCGUGCGUGUGUCCCUGUCCGCGCUGCUGAAACGGGCUCUUCGAGGGAUUGGCGUCAUAUGACUCCGCCUGCUGCCCCCAGCCCUCGCGCAGACCGCCCUCCCCUCAGUUAGCUGAGGGAGGGUCGUGCAACAUCCCCAGGGGCCCCCGCGGCUCUGCGGAGAGAAGAGGUUCCAGCCAGGAAGGGUCCAGCUAGGAGCGAGCACGGCGCCCGAUCUCAAAGUGUAGAUCUUGAAGGGGGCGGGGUGUGAGAGAGCGAGGGAGGGCGGGGGAGCGAGAGAGAGAGAGAGAGCGCGCGCGAGGGAGAGCGAGGGAGCGAUUCAGAGAGCGCCAGAGAACGGCAGAGCGCGCACCGACGAGGGGCAUUCGGAUGCCUCUCUGAGAUGUAAGUGCGUAGCAGUCUCUCAGGCCUUCUAGCAUCAUGCAGAAAGCCAUCCGGCUUAACGAUGGCCACGUCGUGACCCUGGGACUGCUGGCACAGAAGGACGGCACGCGCAAAGGCUACCUGAGCAAGAGGAGUGCGGACAACCCAAAAUGGCAAACCAAGUGGUUUGCCCUGCUCCAGAACCUGCUUUUCUACUUCGAAAGCGACUCCAGCCCUCGGCCCUCGGGGCUCUACCUGCUCGAGGGAAGUAUCUGUAAACGCGCGCCCUCCCCCAAGCGAGGGACCUCCUCCAAGGAGUCCGGCGAGAAACAGCAACAUUACUUCACAGUGAACUUCUCCAAUGACAGCCAGAAGACCUUGGAGUUGAGGACCGAGGAUGCCAAGGACUGUGACGAGUGGGUGGCUGCGAUCGCUCGCGCCAGCUACAAGAUACUGGCUACAGAACAUGAGGCGCUUAUGCAGAAGUACUUACACCUGCUGCAGGUAGUGGAGACAGAGAAGACUGUGGCUAAGCAGCUGCGCCAGCAGCUUGAGGACGGUGAGGUUGAGAUCGAGCGCCUGAAGACGGAGGUAACUAUUACAAACCUGAUCAAGGACAAUGAUCGUAUCCAAUCCAGCAACAAAGCCGGUUCUGCUGAUGAUGAGGACAGUGACAUCAAGAAAAUUAAGAAGGUUCAGAGCUUCCUUCGGGGAUGGCUGUGCCGGCGAAAGUGGAAGAACAUCAUCCAGGACUACAUCCGGUCUCCCCACGCGGACAGCAUGCGCAAGAGGAACCAGGUGGUGUUCAGCAUGCUGGAGGCCGAGGCUGAGUACGUCCAGCAGCUACACAUCCUUGUCAACAACUUCCUGCGCCCACUGCGCAUGGCCGCCAGCUCUAAGAAACCCCCUAUAACACACGACGACGUCAGCAGUAUCUUUCUGAACAGCGAGACCAUCAUGUUCCUGCAUCAGAUCUUCUACCAAGGCCUGAAGGCCCGUAUCUCCAGCUGGCCCACCCUGGUGCUGGCGGACCUGUUCGAUAUCCUGCUGCCCAUGCUGAACAUCUACCAGGAGUUCGUCCGCAACCACCAGUACAGCCUCCAGAUCCUUGCUCACUGCAAGCAAAACCGGGACUUUGACAAGCUCCUCAAGCAGUACGAGGCCAAGCCAGACUGCGAGGAGCGCACACUGGAGACCUUCCUCACCUACCCAAUGUUCCAGAUCCCCAGGUACAUCCUGACACUCCAUGAGCUGCUGGCCCACACACCUCAUGAGCAUGUGGAGCGCAACAGCCUGGACUAUGCCAAAUCCAAACUAGAGGAACUGUCCAGGAUCAUGCAUGACGAAGUCAGUGAAACCGAGAACAUCCGCAAAAACCUGGCCAUUGAGCGUAUGAUCACGGAGGGCUGUGAGAUCCUCCUGGACACCAGCCAGACCUUCGUGCGCCAAGGUUCCCUCAUGCAGAUGUCCUUGUCUGAAAAGAGCAAGUCCUCUAGGGGCCGCCUGGGGUCUCUGUCCACUAAGAAAGAGGGUGAGCGCCAGUGUUUCCUAUUCUCCAAGCAUCUCAUUAUCUGCACCAGAGGCUCUGGUGGGAAACUGCACCUAACCAAGAAUGGAGUCAUAUCCCUCAUUGACUGCACCUUACUGGAUGAACCCGAAAACCUGGACGACGAAGCCAAAGGAGCCGGACCAGAGAUAGAACACCUGGAGUUUAAGAUCGGGGUGGAGCCAAAGGACUCCCUACCCUUCACUGUCAUCCUGGUAGCCUCAACCAGGCAGGAGAAGGCAGCAUGGACCAGUGACAUCAUCCAGUGCGUGGAUAAUAUCCGCUGCAAUGGGCUCAUGAUGAAUGCCUUUGAAGAAAAUUCCAAGGUCACCGUGCCUCAGAUGAUCAAGUCUGACGCUUCCUUAUAUUGUGAUGAUGUUGACAUUCGCUUCAGCAAAACCAUGAAUUCUUGCAAAGUGCUUCAGAUCCGCUAUGCCAGCGUGGAGCGCCUGCUGGAGCGCCUGACUGAUCUUCGCUUCCUGAGCAUUGACUUUCUCAACACCUUCCUGCAUUCCUAUCGCGUCUUCACCAAUGCUAUGGUGGUCCUGGACAAGCUGAUCAAUAUCUACAGAAAACCCAUGAGUGCGAUUCCUGCCAGGUCCCUGGAACUCUUGUUUUCCAGCAGCCACAACGCCAAGCUUCUGUACGGAGAUGCCCCUAAGUCCCCUCGCGCCAGCCGCAAGUUCUCCUCGCCACCGCCCUUGGCCAUCGGGACGUCAUCCCCCAGCCGCCGUCGGAAGCUGUCCCUCAACAUCCCCAUCAUCACAGGCGGCAAGGCGCUGGAACUGGCUUCCCUUGGGUGCAGCUCCGAUAGCUACGCCAACAUACACUCACCCAUAUCUCCCUUCGGCAAAACCACACUGGACACUGGCAAGCUCUGUAUGGCCAGCAGCUUACCCAAGACUCCAGAGGAGAUUGAUGUGCCUGCCACGAUUCCAGAGAAGCCUGGGGAGCUCUCAGCCUCCAGGAAGCAUAGCUCUGAUGUCCUGAAAGAAGAGUCCGAGGAUGACCAGAACCACAGUGAUGAAGACAACACAGAAGUGUCACCAGUUAAAUCCCCACCAACACCAAAAUCGUUCUUAAACAGAACCAUUACAGAGUUUCCAUUCUUUAACUACAACAAUGGAAUCCUGAUGACCACGUGUCGUGAUCUGGUGGACAAUAACCGCAGCACUCUCUCAGCUACUUCUGCCUUUGCCAUAGCGACUGCAGGAGCCAAUGAAGGCCCCUCAAACAAGGAGGUGUUUCGAAGGAUGUCUUUGGCCAACACAGGCUUUUCCUCUGACCAGAGAAAUAUCGACAAGGAGUUUGUGAUCCGCAGAGCUGCCACCAAUCGUGUGCUGAAUGUGCUCCGCCACUGGGUCACCAAGCACACCCAGGACUUUGAUACCGACGAUACGCUCAAAUACAGGGUGAUCUGUUUCCUGGAGGAGGUCAUGCAUGACCCAGACCUUCUGACCCAAGAGCGAAAGGCAGCAGCCAACAUCAUCAGGACUCUGACCCUAGAAGAAACAACUGAACAACAUAGCAUGCUGGAAGAAGUCAUACUGAUGACGGAGGGUGUGAAGACUGAGCCCUUCGAAAACCACCCAGCCCUGGAGAUAGCAGAGCAGCUGACCCUGCUGGAUCACCUUGUCUUCAAGAGUAUUCCUUAUGAAGAGUUCUUUGGCCAGGGCUGGAUGAAGGCCGAGAAGUAUGAAAGGACACCUUACAUUAUGAAAACCACCAAACACUUCAACCAUGUCAGUAACUUCAUUGCUUCAGAAAUUAUCCGAAACGAGGACAUCAGCGCAAGGGCAAGCGCCAUCGAGAAGUGGGUGGCUGUGGCCGACAUAUGUCGCUGCCUGCACAACUACAAUGCUGUGCUGGAGAUCACCUCCUCCAUCAACCGCAGCGCCAUCUUCCGUCUCAAAAAGACAUGGCUCAAAGUUUCUAAGCAGACGAAAUCUUUGCUUGACAAGCUCCAAAAGCUUGUGUCAUCAGAUGGCAGAUUUAAGAACCUCAGAGAGUCUUUGAGAAAACAGAUGUUGAACCCAUCUGUGCUAUCCGGCCGUCUCUCCUCCGCCCGGGCUCCCUGGAGCCCUUGUGGACUGUGCUUAUACGAAGCUGCCCCUGUGCAUUUACCAACUGUCCGUCUGCCUCUGGGCGUUGCUCCAUCUGCCUCCUUCACACGGCUUCCUCAUCCACUGCAACCACUACUGCUACCUAACUGUCUCCGUGGCUCCCAUUCUGUCUGACCCUCUCCUGACUGUCUUCCCUUUCAGGUCACCUGUAUGCCUGUGUAAGUGCCUCCCCUAGAACCCUCUGCUGCCUGUGGCACAGGGCAGAGUGCUCAGGGGUUUUCUGGGAACCAAGGUCUUUCUGUAAGGCAGAUCUGCCCUGUGAAGAUGGAGAGCAAACCAUGUCCAGUGAUGCUGGGGUGUUUGUUUCACCAGGAAAGGAACAAAAAGCAGAAGAUAAUUACCUGGCAACAGUCUUCAGGCAGAAAUGGUGACCCACCCAAAGAGUCUUGUAGUGACUCUCCCAUGUGGGUCCCCACCCCAUUCAUAAGUCCCUGGAAUCUUAUUCAGCAUGUUGUCACUGGGUUCUUACUCUGGAAACUCCUCAUCUUACUGGUCUUAGUGAUUUCCAUUAAAAAUUUCAGGCAGGAUUUAUAGUGCAGUAUAAAAGACAUAUACAGACCUAUAGAGUUCAUUAUAGAGUUUAUGAUACAUGCCAAAGGGAUGAGAAUGAACAAGAAGGGGACCACUGUGGUGACCCACAUGCUUAGCUAGGCAUCACACUCUAAAAGAUCUCUGGAACAGCUUCCUAAAAAGCAUUUCCCUGUCCAAGUGAUUGACGGGUCCAUUUGGAUUAACUCUUAACAGUGGGACAAUGCUGUAUCUUACUAGAUAGUUAUCUAUUAAUGACCUCCUAGGCAGUUCAGAAUGUCAUAUCUUAGGCCAGGAAUAUAGCUUAGUUGGUAGAGUGUUUACUUAGUUCUCUGAGUUUGAUCCCCAGUACCAAUAGAAUCAGGUUCCAUGGUCAGGACAGCCAGGGCUAGGUAGAGAGACCCAGUGGCAAAAACAACAACAACAAAUCAGAUGGGAUGGUACUUUUAGUCCCAGCACAGGGGAGAUGGAGAAAGGUUCAAGGUCUGUACCCCCCAUUUUCCCACCAUGGCAAGAGUUUCAAGCAGCCAGAGGAACAAUUCCUCUGGCAUCUCUCUGUGCUGAGCCGUGGUGCAUUAUCUCAGGAGUCCCCCAAAGUUGCUGAAGGGAGGAGGGUAGCGGCUGCUCACUCCAUCAUCAAUCCCAUUAUUCCUUUCCCCCCUGAACCCUUCCAAGGUACCAGAAAGCUGCCAUGGUCCACAGACAUGAGCCCAUGCUCAGAGCUACACAUCAGAGGCCUGGUCCGUCGCACCAGAGUCUCAAUCUCUUAUAACUACAGACCCUGAGAAUCACCCACCCUUUCCAGAAGACACUUCCAGGAAAAUGGUCAGAGGGCCAGGGUUUUCUGCUCUGGCCCUCAAGCCUAGGUGACAAGAAGACAGGUCUUGGGAACGCCGCACUGAGUGACUGCUGGAACUUGGGCAUGGGUGGCACGGCCUCCCCAGAGGUGACUGAACACAGAAUAACAGUGGAAAAACUGUGAACCAGGAGGUAGCUGGGGAACAGCUGGGGGACUCCACUGUGCAUAUGCCAGAGAAGUAAAGAAAGGCAUUUGGGGUCAUAGAGGGAGGAGAUUUAAAUAAGACCCCUUCUCCUAGCCUGCGCGUGAGGGCCCAGGCAGCUUCAUACUAUCUAGCCCACCUUCCAGCCUGGCUGGGGGGGUCUAUCAAGGCCUGUGUGUGCCCUGUGAUUCUUCAUAACUAUAAACCCCUUUGCCUCUAGCCAGGCAAGACCUGCAUGCAGAGUGCUCUGCUCUCAGCAGAAGUUCCUUUCCUUAAGUAAAAAACUUUUGUGGAUGCCAUUUCUUUCCAAGUUGUGAUCCACCCUGUGUCCCUUACCUGGGGAUGUAUCUCACCGACUUGGUGUUCAUCGAGGAGGGGACACCCAAUUACACAGAGGACGGCCUGGUCAACUUCUCCAAGAUGAGAAUGAUCUCCCAUAUUAUCCGAGAGAUUCGCCAGUUUCAGCAGACUACCUACAAAAUCGACCCCCAGCCAAAGGUAAUUCAGUACUUACUGGAUGAAUCUUUCAUGUUGGACGAAGAAAGCCUGUAUGAGUCUUCGCUCCUAAUCGAACCAAAACUCCCCACAUGAGGCUGUUCUCCCCACCCACUGGCACCGCAGCGUAACGCCAGCUGCCCCCCAGCUGCUUCUGUGAACACCUGCUUUACGAUUAUUGUAUAUAAUCGUCGCGUGCCUCUGUACUUGUUCUCCAGCGUGUGCUUCCCCGAGAAUAUAUUAUCUCUUCUUGUCCCGUAAAACCGAAAUACAAAUGUCUGCACUCAAAAUAUAGAUGUCUGCACUCUCAGA